rnacentral:rRNA from 1 species
CCUACGGGAGGCAGCAGUGGGGAAUUUUGGACAAUGGGCGCAAGCCUGAUCCAGCAAUGCCGCGUGAGUGAAGAAGGCCUUCGGGUUGUAAAGCUCUUUUGUCAGGGAAGAAACGGUUGGGGCUAAUAUCCUCAGCUAAUGACGGUACCUGAAGAAUAAGCACCGGCUAACUACGUGCCAGCAGCCGCGGUAAUACGUAGGGUGCAAGCGUUAAUCGGAAUUACUGGGCGUAAAGCGUGCGCAGGCGGUUUUGUAAGUCUGUCGUGAAAGCCCCGGGCUUAGCCUGGGAAUUGCGAUGGAGACUGCAAGGCUUGAAUCUGGCAGAGGGGGGUAGAAUUCCACGUGUAGCAGUGAAAUGCGUAGAGAUGUGGAGGAACACCGAUGGCGAAGGCAGCCCCCUGGGUCAAGAUUGACGCUCAUGCACGAAAGCGUGGGGAGCAAACAGGAUUAGAUACCCUGGUAGUCCACGCCCUAAACGAUGUCUACUAGUUGUCGGGUCUUAAUUGACUUGGUAACGCAGCUAACGCGUGAAGUAGACCGCCUGGGGAGUACGGUCGCAAGAUUAAAACUCAAAGGAAUUGACGG